UACAGAGGUCCCAAGCGUUGUUCGGAUUCAUUGGGCGUAAAGGGUGCGUAGGUGGCGUCGUAAGUCGGGUGUGAAAUCUCGGGGCUUAACUCCGAAACUGCACUUGAUACUGCCUCGCUUGAGUACUGGAGAGGAGACUGGAAUUUACGGUGUAGCAGUGAAAUGCGUAGAUAUCGUAAGGAAGACCAGUGGCGAAGGCGAGUCUCUGGACAGUUACUGACGCUGAGGCACGAAGGCCAGGGGAGCAAACGGG
rnacentral:rRNA from 1 species